GUAGAGCCCCUCUCGUUUCAGGCGGCACAGCGCACACGGAGAGGGGGAGAGAGGGGAGAAGGGAGAGGCAGAUGAAGGAAAGAAUGGGGUCUCUCGCCGAGCCGAGCGGUGGAAGUCCAUGAUCCCCGGUCUGUACGACUGAUUCGCCUACCGGAGCCUCUCGGUGCUUUCGUUCCCUGAAACCAUAGGAACUGACGCAGGGUCGGUACCCUCAGCCGAGCAGAUAUGAAGAAAAGGAGGAUCGUGAAAGGGGGUAGAGGGUGAAGGUGAUAUAGAUCUUGUCGAUGAUGGCAUCCUAGAUGGAUGGGGAGGACUCUGAUGGAAGUGAUGAUGGGAAAAGAAGAUCAGGAGGAUCGAGAGGGCGCUGGUGGAAAGGAAUGAUGGGUAUGAAGAAAAGAAUGGGAGAUUCCAAGAAAAUAUACUAGAGGUGAAAGAUCUUCAAUUCUUUAUAUACUGCUUAUUUUAGCAUUGUUCUUCCUGAGCUGAUAUAAAAUCUCCAACCCAGGGGGCUGUGUUGGGAGAAUUCGGGUGAAAAAAAUCUCUGUUCUAGUAUUUUUCUUAAAAUCAAACUGAAAACAAUGUAUUGUGAUGCCAUCGAAAGUUUUAAUAGGACUACUGCAUGCUAGGUAUCAUGGAUAAUAAUUCUUGAGGUUUACUUCUGUUCACUCAUUGUCUCCACAAAUCACAUAGUCAGUUCUUGAUCUUCUUCACUUAUUGUUCUUGCUUUCAUCUAUUUCUUUUAUUCAAAUCGAUUGCUUGUCGAACCAUAUUUAUAUUCUAAAGCAAUUUUUAUUCUUUGGUUCACUUGAAUCCUGUAAUAUUGUUUCUGUGAAACUGAGGAGAAUUUGCUACUCCGAACGAUUUUUAUUAAGUUUUCUUUUAUAUCGUUCUUAAUUUUUAUGUAUUUUCUUCUCUUCUUGGGAAGAAAUUCUAAUGAUCUUGGUUAGUUUAAUUUUGACUACUUUUAAUUUAAAUUUCUUGAAGUCGUUUCUUAGAGAUUCACUGCUGAAGUCAUAUGUUAUCUUGCAACCUUCUUCAUUAAUGAUUCAUUUUUGAGAUAGCUAUGUUAUUUGCGCAUCGUCUCUAUAAACUAUUUAGUUAUCACUUAAUAGUCUAUUCUCUGAAGUUGUUUCUUCGGCUCUUUGAAACUAUGGUUGCUCUCUGGAAGCAUUAUUAUAAUUUUGUUUGGCAUUUCGGCCGUUUUAGUGCCCAAAUGCUCUCUGGAAGCAUUUGGGCACAGCCUGCCAACAUGGAUUUAACCGGACAACAGAGAGCAUUU